rnacentral:lncRNA from 1 species
UGCUUGAGAAAAUAUACAGAAUAUUUUUAAAGUAAAAAAUUAUUAUUCAUAUAAAAUCUUAAUUUUUGUUAUAUAUGAUUAGAUAGUUUAAUCCAAUAUUUAUCUAUAUAAUUUAUUUAUUUUUAACUGCAUAAAUGAAAAUAAAUAAUAUGGAGAUUGAAGACGUAAGAAAAGACAUGUGAGGCUGAAAAGAUUAGAUAUUCAACUUAUAAAUUAUUUUUUUCAUAUUAUAAUACUAUAUUUUAUAUAAUUAUUUUGUACUUUGAACAAUUAGGCAUAUUUUUGUAUCAAAUUAUAGAUAAUGUUCUAUACAAAUUAAACUAUUGAUUGUAUGUUGUUGAAAAUUUCAAACGGCUCGUUUAUGGCUCGAGCUCGCUCGACUCGAAAUUAGGCUCUCGAAUUAAUUUCAAUCCAAAUUUGAGCUUAAAUUUAAGCUCGAAAUUAAUUUCAAGCCGAAUUUGAGCCGAGGUAA